GGGAGUGCGGGGUGGGGGCAGCCGGGUGUGGCACCCUCGUCGUCCAGCAACGGCUCCCGACCCACGCCAACCGCCGGACGGAGCGAUGGGUCCAUUAGGCCUCGGCGCCUCGGUUUGAUGGUGACAUGGGCAAAGCACCCAUUACUACCAAUUCAGCGGGUCCCACACGCCAAGCCCCGCUCGUUACCCAUGUAAUGGACUUUCAUCCUUACCACAAACCCGACAGAUAAACAGAGGCCCAGGGAGCUGAAGUUUUCCCAGCAUUUCCCGUUGGAAUUCUCUCCUCCACCCUGAGGAAUGAGACCAAGGACCAGCCUGCAGCAUCCCAGCAUCCGCUGGGACGCAGCAUCUUCUCCUUGAGCUGCCUGUGGUGGUCCACCUGCCUGCCCAACAAGCCUGAUAGCAACCUCUCACGUGGGGCCCCAAGUCCCCUCUUGGUCCUGAGGGCAGGACCAAGCUGGCUCAUCCCUGCGUCUCUGGUGUCUGUGCAUUGAGUUGAUCAGGGGAGAAAUCGAGAGCAGCCUCAGGGAAAUGCAGGGAAGGGGGCUCCCUAGUCCUUCCAUGAGCUCAGAGGCUCCACAAAAUAGUGGUUAAAAGCUUGGGCUUUUCCAAGACAUGGAAACAACCUAAAUGUCCAUCAACAGAUGAAUGGAUAAAAAAGAUGUGGUGUAUAUACACGAUGUGGUGUACACACACACACACACACAGGAAUACUAUUCAGCCACAAAAAAGAAUGAAAUAAUGCCAUUUGCAGCAACAUGGAUGGACCUAGAGAUUAUCAUACAAAACGAAGUAAGUCAGAAAGACAAAUACCAUAUGAUGUCACUUAUAUGUGGAAUCUAAAAUAUGACACAAAUGAACAUAUCUACAUAACAGAAACAGACUUACAUUCAUGACUUGUGGUUGCCAAGGGGAAACGGAGGUGGGGAGGGAAGGAUUGAGAGUUUGGGAUUAGCAGAUGCAAACUCAUAUAUAUAGGAUGCAUAAGCAACAAGGUCCUACUGUAUAGCACAGGGAAGUAUAUUCAAUAUCCUAUGAUAAACCAUAAUGGAAAAGA